rnacentral:rRNA from 1 species
UACGUAGGGUGCAAGCGUUGUCCGGAAUUAUUGGGCGUAAAGAGCUCGUAGGCGGUUCGUCGCGUCUGCUGUGAAAACUGGAGGCUCAACCUCCAGCCUGCAGUGGGUACGGGCAAACUAGAGUGCGGUAGGGGAGAUUGGAAUUCCUGGUGUAGCGGUGGAAUGCGCAGAUAUCAGGAGGAACACCGAUGGCGAAGGCAGAUCUCUGGGCCGUAACUGACGCUGAGGAGCGAAAGCAUGGGGAGCGAACAGG